rnacentral:misc_RNA from 1 species
GAUGAAGAACGUAGCGAAAUGCGAUAAGUAAUGUGAAUUGCAGAAUUCCGUGAAUCAUCGAAUCUUUGAACGCACAUUGCGCCCCCUGGUAUUCCGGGGGGCAUGCCUGUUCGAGCGUCAUUAUAACCACUCAAGCUCUCGCUUGGUAUUGGGGUUCGCGGUUCCGCGGCCCCUAAAAUCAGUGGCGGUGCCUGUCGGCUCUACGCGUAGUAAUACUCCUCGCGAUUGAGUCCGGUAGGUCUACUUGCCAGCAACCCCCAAUUUUUACAGGUUGACCUCGGAUCAGGUAGGGAUACCCGCUGAACUUAAGCAUAUCAAUAAGCGGAGGA